rnacentral:rRNA from 1 species
UGUCUUUUGCGUACUUCUUGUUUCCUUGGUGGGUUCGCCCACCACUAGGACAAACAUAAACCUUUUGUAAUUGCAAUCAGCGUCAGUAACAAAUUAAUAAUUACAACUUUCAACAACGGAUCUCUUGGUUCUGGCAUCGAUGAAGAACGCAGCGAAAUGCGAUAAGUAGUGUGAAUUGCAGAAUUCAGUGAAUCAUCGAAUCUUUGAACGCACAUUGCGCCCUUUGGUAUUCCAAAGGGCAUGCCUGUUCGAGCGUCAUUUGUACCCUCAAGCUUUGCUUGGUGUUGGGCGUCUUGUCUCUAGCUUUGCUGGAGACUCGCCUUAAAGUAAUUGGCAGCCGGCCUACUGGUUUCGGAGCGCAGCACAAGUCGCACUCUCUAUCAGCAAAGGUCUAGCAUCCAUUAAGCCUUUUUUUCAACUUUUGACCUCGGAUCAG